CACGUAGGGCGCAAGCGUUGUCCGGAAUUAUUGGGCGUAAAGAGCUCGUAGGCGGUUUGUUGCGUCGGCUGUGAAAUCCCGAGGCUCAACCUCGGGUCUGCAGUCGAUACGAGCAAACUAGAGUGUUGCAGGGGAGACUGGAAUUCCCGGUGUAGCGGUGAAAUGUGUAGAGAUCGGGAGGAACACCGGUGGCGAAGGCGGCGAUCUGGGUCGAUACUGACGCUGAGGUGCGAAAGCGUGGGGAGCAAACAGG
rnacentral:rRNA from 1 species